ACAAUGUUGUGUAAACAGUCCCUUAAUUCAGGUCUCCAGGAUCAGAAACCAGUGGUAUAGAUUAUUCCCAUACAUCUACAGUAAUAUCUGAUGUUAAUAUCUUUUUUUUUUUUUAACUUAUCUAGUUGAACAUGCCAUUGCUGUUUUUACUGCCCUACCGCUGCUCUUCCCAUCUGGGUCUGCAGCACCGAAGAAACAGGUCCCAAUCAGUGAGGCUCUUUUCCAUGUUCUGACGCCCUCAGAGGAUCCGGAUACCUACAUCCACAGGCGUGCAUUUUCCAGUCCUGUCUUGCUGGUUGGUGAGGAGAACUGCAUGGUGGUUGUAGGUACAACCCCAGUACUAACAUUUGACAAAGACUUGCUCUAUGAGGGGCCUCUCUACCUCCUGGCCUAUUACUAUGCAUUUCAUCUCACAUAUCCAAAGUGUCUUGCAACACUCCUGUCUGUGUUGCAAACACAAGUUCUGAGAGAUGUCAUCCACGAGCAGGAUGAAACCCCCUCGUACAAAAAGGCCAUUCAUGAAUGGAGAAUGUUUGUUGACUAAUUGCUGUUUCAAACUGCUGUGGCUGAGAGACAGCUGCAUUUUUUUUUUCGGCCAUUACAUUUGCACUUGAUUUGUGCUGUUAGGAGUUUUUCCCCAUUUUCAGGAGAUUAAAUGUAUCUAACAUACAGUAAUGCAGCACAGCAUAACAAAAAAAAGUAAUUGCUGUGUGUAACUUUACAGGACUGCUGAGGGUAUACAGUGUUGUUUUGUGCCAGAGUAUAUUUUUUGUUGUUAUUAUUAACGUUGGACUGUUCAUCCUGUUUUGCUGUACCUCAGUUGUUUAAGAGGAAAAUGUUCAUUUUUGAAUCUGCCAUGGAUUCAAGGCAUUGUUGACCCAAACUUCAAUUACUUCUUAAUCUUAUGUUGUACAAACCUGUUUUUUUUUUUCUUUUGGCUACAGAUGAUAUUAUUUAGAAUGUUGGGAACUGUUGAUGGUAGCUAUUGACUUUCAUAGUAUUUUUUAUUUUUUAUUUUGUAUAUUUUUCUUGCUAUGAAAGCUGGCGACAUUCUUCAAAGUGUCAUCUUCUGCAAAAAAAAACUCAUAAGGAUUUUAAGAACAUAAGGGUGAGCAUGAUAAUUAUUUGAUUUUUGGGUUGCUAUCAUGUUACGAAGUAAAUUGAUCCAGGCUGUUUGAAGCUUAAAUGCUGUUUGAGUUUGUGUAGACUGAGGCAAAGCAUUUUGCAUAGAAUACUUGCGGUUUCUGUGCCAGGUAUUUUAUUUCAUUUUAAAGUUUAAGCUUGUCUUUGCUUAUCCUGCCUUAUGCUCCAUUUGUUUAGAACUUUAAAGAAUGUUCUUUAAUAAAUGUUCAGCAAAGCUGGAAGUUGUUUCUUCACUUAAAGUGGGGGAAGGUGUGGGAGGUAUUUUCUUUUAAGAGUUUUCAUCUCAUUUAGGUUUUUGUGUGAUUUAAAAAAAAAAAAAAUCUAAAUAGGCUGGAUUUAAGGUAAACUAUUCUGCUUUCAAUGCAUUUUCCCCCUAAAAUUAUUAUUGUCGUGCUU